UACAGAGGGUGCGAGCGUUAAUCGGAAUUACUGGGCGUAAAGCGUGCGUAGACGGUUAUUUAAGUCGGGUGUGAAAGCCCCGGGCUCAACCUGGGAAUUGCAUUCGAGACUGAAUAGCUAGGGUACGGUAGAGGGAAGCGGAAUUUCCGGUGUAGCGGUGAAAUGCGUAGAUAUCGGAAGGAACAUCAGUGGCGAAAGCGACUUCCUGGACCAAUACUGACGCUCAUGUGCGAAAGCGUAGGGAGCAAACAGG
rnacentral:rRNA from 1 species